AGGUCGAGGGGUUAAUGCUCUGGAAGACGGAUGAAAAGGCACUGCCCGAGAAGCGGGGUGCUGACAGCGGGAAGCUCAUGCUCACAGGCCGCUCUGUAACCGAAAGAAGCCAUGGGGAAGGGAGGGAAAGCGGUUUCAGGCAUGAACCAUGGACCACAGAGAAGCCACUGGAGCCUGGGGAGAAGCCACCAGGCCACUUGGAAGAAGGCAAGUAGUCCCCAGGUUACCUCUCAUCAGGCCCGGGACAGCCCUGCCCCGCUUCUUCAGCUCCCCGAAGCAGCCGUCGCAGACCUUGGCCAUCCUGUCCUUCAGCUUCCCAGACAGUCAUCCGACAGGCACUUUCCAAGUCCCUGCUCUGCACCAGGGAGGGCUUCCUGAGUGGCAAGAGCUACGCCUGGGCUGUGUGCCAGGUAGCUGGGUGAAGUUCUCACAGUGUCCACUAGAUGCCGCGC